rnacentral:rRNA from 1 species
AUUGAACGCUGGCGGCAGGCCUAACACAUGCAAGUCGAACGAGUGGCGGACGGGUGAGUAAUGUCUGGGAAACUGCCUGAUGGAGGGGGAUAACUACUGGAAACGGUAGCUAAUACCGCAUACCAUCGGAUGUGCCCAGAUGGGAUUAGCUAGUAGGUGGGGUAAAGGCUCACCUAGGCGACGAUCCCUAGCUGGUCUGAGAGGAUGACCAGCCACAGUGGAACCGAGAAAAGGUCCAGACUCCUACGGGAGGGAGGAGGGGGGAAAUAUGGACAAUGGGCGGAAGGCUUAUGGAGGCAAGCCGGGGGGAAUAAGGAGGCCUUUGGGUUGGAAAGGACUUUCAGGGGGGAGGCGUUACCCGCAGAAGAAGCACCGGCUAACUCCGUGCCAGCAGCCGCGGUAAUAC